AAAUUUCUAAUUAACAGCUAAAAAAUUUUAUAAUGAUCUAAAGUUUCGCGAAUAAAAUUUUGAAGUCAAUCUCAUAACGUCAUUCAUAGUUUUGACAAUAUUGAAUAUCCAAUUUUCUGCAAAAUUGCUACGCUUUGACGUCUUAACUAGCACAUGCCCGGGAUUAAUACGAGUAGUACCGGAGCGGUGAACUGCUUUAUAUCUAUGAACUGGAUUGUAUCCAUGAACUGCAUUGUAUCUAAACGUCAGGUGUGAUCUAUUGCCGCCUAAGCCGGAGCGUUUCUCAUUGCCACUCCUUCUGAUAUAUAUGAUGUUGAGAGCUGGGGUGAAGAGUCAAGACAAUGGAGCAGUUCGCAUGAAAGCAAAAAUGUGUUGAAAAGAGUUCGCAGAUAUGCAUAUGGUGGUGUUCUUAGAAAUUUAAACAAAAUUUUGAAGCGAACACAAAACUGACAAAAGUUGAACGAAGAAAGCUCAAGGAGUCAUUAUGUUACUUGAUAUAGAAUAGUGAUUCAACAUUUGAGCACGUCCAAGAGCGCUCUACGUAUGUGCGUAUCGGUGGUUUAGUCGGUCGAGCUUGUAAAUUUUUCGCGAAGUAUGCUAUAUCGUCUAUGGUAUCU